UAAAUUCAAGAAAAACAAGAAAAAAACAAAAACAAGACAAUAGUUUCUUCAGACAAAAAAAAAUCAAGGAAAACAAGGAAAACAACAGCAAGGAGAGAGAGAGAGAGAGAGAGAGAGAGAGAGAGAGAGAGAGAGAGAGAGAGAGAGAGAGAGAGUCCACCUGUCUACCUGAGCCUUGGGACACCUGGAACAGCCCUAAUUAGCACCUGUAAGUAGUUGUAAGUAGUAAUGGUAAGUAGUUGUAAGUAGUAAGACAUCUUGGAACCCUAAUUUUUAAGUCUUAUAUAUGAUUAAGUAGCAUAGUAGUAAUAGUAGUAGUAGUAGUAGUAGUAGUAGUAGUUGUGGUAGUAGUAGUGGUGGUAAUAAUAGUAGUAGUAGUAGUAGUAGUAGUAGUAGUAGGAAAUCUUAUGUAACUCAAAUUUGGAUCAGCACAGUAGUAGUAAUAGUAGUAGUAGUAGUAGUAGUAAUAGCAGUAACAUAAGCAGUACUUUUAGCAGGAACAACAAGAGGAUCAGAACACCUUUUAAGAGAUUCAUAAACUCUCCCACGCUGACUUAAAGGGAAUGGAAAGAGAAAGUGUGUCUUGAACCUUCUCCUGACAGCAUUGGAACCUCUCUUUAAUUGAUCCCCCAGGACUACAAAGGUUCUGAUCCUACUCACAGCAAACCCAUAGCCAAGACUUGAAAUGGAGGGGGAGUGUGUGUGGGGGGGGGAGGGGGGGCUAUUUCUUGUGUAGGGGGGCUGUGAUAAUCGUAAAGGGGGUGAAUCUAUCAUAAGGAGCUGAAUCUAUCGUAAGGGGCUGAAUCUAUUGUAAGGGUCUGAAUCUACUGUAAGGGGCUCAAUAUCAUAAGGGGCUGAGUCUAUUGUAAGGGGCUGAAUCUGUUGUCAGGGGCUGAAUCUAUUGUAAGGGGCUGAAUCUAUUGUAAGGGGCUGAAUCUAUUGUAAGGGACUGAAUCUAUCGUAAGGAGUUGAAUCUAUCGUAAGGAGCUGAAUCUAUCUUAAGGGGUUGAAUCUAUUGUAAGGGAGGCCGUUUCUAUCAUAAGGGGGGCUGUUUCUAUCAUAGUGGGGCUGUCUAUUUUUGGGGAGGGGGCAAAUCUCCCUGCCCAACCCCCUACAAGGCAGACUCAAAGAGGUUCCAAUGCUAUUCAGAGAGGUUCCAACACUACUUAAAUAGAUUCCAAUGCUUUUCAGAGGUUCCAAUACUACUCAAAUAGAUUCCAAUGUUUUUCAGAGAGGUUGCAACACUACUUAUUAUAGAUUCCAAUGCUUUUCAGAGAGGUUCCAAUGCUAUAUAUAAGGGUUCCAAUACAACUAACAAAGGUUCCAAUGCUAUUCAGAGAGGUUCCAAUACUACUAACAAAGAUUCCAAUGUGACUUACAAAGGUUUGAGUGCUCACAGAGGUUUCAAUCCCAUCUCACAAGCCUCACACUCUCUACCAAAGGGGAUUUAAGGGUAAAAAUAGCUUUAAAUCCCUUUCUUGGCACCAUAAUAAAGGUUCCAAUUCCAUACAAAGGUUUCAAACUCUCUUCACAAGCUAUCAAUAGGGAUUCAUGACUUGCCUUCACUACACACACACACACACACAUGCACACAAACACACACGUACACAUAGAUCCUGCCUGUGCGUACAUACAUAAGUUAGUUACGUGCACACAUGAAUACGCGCACAUGGGGAGGCUGUGUGUGUGUGACCUCUCUCCAUGUGCGUCUGUAUGUACAUUUAAAAAGAUUAUUGUUAUUAUUUUUUUGUGUUUUUGUUUUUUGUACAGGAAGUUAGAUAAAACACACACACACACACACACACACACACACACACACACACACACACACACACACACACACACACACACACACACAUACAUAUAUAUACAUACACAGGUAUACAUAAACAUUUCAAAUAUACAUAAAUAUUCAAUAAUUUUUAACACUGAGUAUACAUAAAAUAUCCAUAAUUUAAUACAUAAAGAAUAAUUAUUUAUUAUUAUUAUUAUUAUUAUUGGUGGUGGUGGUGGUAGAGCAGAAGUGGUGGUAGUAGUAGUAGUAGUAGUAGUAGUAGUAGUAGUAGUAGUAGUAGUAACACACACACACACACACACACACACACACACACACACACACACACACACACACACACACACACACGAUAACA